UACGGGGGGGGCAAGCGUUGUUCGGAAUUACUGGGCGUAAAGGGCGCGUAGGCGGCCUACUAAGUCGGACGUGAAAUCCCUCGGCUCAACCGAGGAACUGCGUCCGAUACUGGCAGGCUGGAAUCCGGGAGAGGGAUGUGGAAUUCCAGGUGUAGCGGUGAAAUGCGUAGAUAUCUGGAGGAACACCGGUGGCGAAGGCGGCAUCCUGGACCGGUAUUGACGCUGAUGCGCGAAAGCCAGGGGAGCAAACGGG
rnacentral:rRNA from 1 species